UCUAAGCAUUUUUGUUUACACCAUGGAAGAUACAAAAUUAUAGGCUUUGUACAUGGUCAAUGCUGUUAUAAUCUCUACUAAAUCAUACAAUUUUAAAGUUUGCACUGUAAAAAAUGUUUCAUUACUUGGAUGAAAGUAAUGCAGCUAUCAUUAUUAUUCAGACAUCUUUCUUCUGGAGUAUAGACAGAUUCAGUGUUGGUUUGAUUUGAGUUUCCCCAGAUCUCUACAAAAUAUUUCACACAUUUAAUCCAUGAAUCUGAAAAUGUGUUUGAGUGAAAGAGAGACUAGAGAUGAACUAUCUGUUCAACAGUGAGAGAGUUUCUCUGACAGGAGGAAAAUCUUUAGACUCAAAUCAGCAAAGAAACACUGAAGAGG